UUCAUCUCCUCACAGAAAAUCUGAAGCUACAAGAAGAAGACAUCAUAAUCCAUUCAUCACUCUGACGACCUGCAUCAAACUCAGCCAUGAAGAUGCUGACCGUGUUGCUACUCGUCUGUGCCGCAACGGCCCUGACUGAUGCUGCUGAAGAACAGCCCGAUCACAUGACGGGAGAAUCAGAAGAACCAUCCAUUCAAGAAGCUGGUUCAGGAGACAAUGAAACGGCAGUUGACUCGUCCAUUCAAGACG